rnacentral:rRNA from 1 species
UACAGAGGUCCCAAGCGUUGUUCGGAUUCACUAGGCGUAAAGGGUGCGUAGGUGGUGAGGUAAGUCGGAUGUGAAAGCUCCGAGCUCAACUCGGAAAUGGCAUUGGAAACUACCUUGCUCGAGGGUUUGAGGGGGGACUGGAAUACUUGGUGUAGCAGUGAAAUGCGUAGAUAUCAAGUAGAACACCAGUGGCGAAGGCGAGUCCCUGGAAAACUCCUGACACUGAGGCACGAAAGCUAGGGGAGCAAACAGG